UACGUAGGGUGCGAGCGUUGUCCGGAAUUAUUGGGCGUAAAGAGCUUGUAGGCGGUCUGUCGCGUCUGCUGUGAAAAUCCGGGGCUCAACCCCGGACUUGCAGUGGGUACGGGCAGACUAGAGUGUGGUAGGGGAGACUGGAAUUCCUGGUGUAGCGGUGAAAUGUGUAGAAAUCGGGAGGAACACCGGUGGCGAAGGCGGGUCUCUGGGCAUCUCCUGACGCUGAGGCGCGAAAGCGUGGGGAGCAAACGGG
rnacentral:rRNA from 1 species